GAUCGUUGCCUGGAGAGUGACAGAAAGCAACAUAAGAUUCAUAACAGUAUAACCGUCUGUGUGAAGUACAUAGAAUUAUGAAAAGAAACGGAGCGACAUUUUAGGCUGACUGCCUGAAAAGGAGCCAGCGGUCGAAAGGGAUGCGGCAGGUGACAGCAUUCUACAGCAGACGUCCAUCAUCAAGCAGAAAAAUCGCUGCACAACGCCUACUGCAAUUCAUGAACAUGACAUAAAGUGAAUGCUGCCGUAGCAAUAUCAUGUUUAUGGUCAGUAAAAAAUGGAGAAGCCAGAGACGUGCACAUAAUUACCGGGAAACUCACUUGUACGCUACUGCCAUUUACCAAAGAAGAAGUUGCCCGCAAGUGAAUUUGCAUACAAAUGAGUUGCUGACUGAACAAUAACUGGACAGUGAUCAGACUUCACGUUCCUAUUAUGAAGGCCCUUUGGUAUCCAAAAAUACAUUUAUACAAUCAGCACUCUAGUCUUGAAAGCUAAUCGCCACCAAAAUAAAUUCAAAGAGCCUGCUGAGCUUUA